rnacentral:rRNA from 1 species
GGGAAUUUUCCGCAAUGGGCGAAAGCCUGACGGAGCAACGCCGCGUGAGGGAUGAAGGCCUCUGGGCUGUAAACCUCUUUUAUCAAGGAAGAAGAUCUGACGGUACUUGAUGAAUAAGCCACGGCUAAUUCCGUGCCAGCAGCCGCGGUAAUACGGGAGUGGCAAGCGUUAUCCGGAAUUAUUGGGCGUAAAGCGUCCGCAGGCGGUCUUACAAGUCUGUCGUUAAAGCGUGGAGCUUAACUCCAUUUCAGCGAUGGAAACUGUAAGACUAGAGUGUGGUAGGGGCAGAGGGAAUUCCCGGUGUAGCGGUGAAAUGCGUAGAUAUCGGGAAGAACACCAGUGGCGAAGGCGCUCUGCUGGGCCAUAACUGACGCUCAUGGACGAAAGCCAGGGGAGCGAAAGGGAUUAGAUACCCCUGUAGUC